GCAGUAGGGAAUCUUCCGCAAUGCGCGAAAGCGUGACGGGGCAAUGCCGCGUGUGGGAUGAAGCCCUUCGGGGUGUAAACCACUGUCAGGGUCCGCCAACAACAUGAGGAGACCCAAAGGAAGAGCCGGCUAACUCUGUGCCAGCAGCCGCGGUAAUACAGAGGGCUCGAGCGUUAAUCGGAAUCACUGGGCUUAAAGCGUGCGUAGGCGGACUUGAAGGCACCUUGUGAAAUCCCUCGGCUCAACCGAGGAACUGCUUGGUGAACCACAAGUCUUGAGGUCGGUAGAGGCGGUCGGAACGAUAGGUGGAGCGGUGAAAUGCGUAGAUAUCUAUCGGAACGCCAAUGGUGCAGACAGGCCGCUGGGCCGCACCUGACGCUGAGGCACGAAAGCGUGGGGAUCAAACGGGAUUAGAUACCCCGGUAGUCCACGCCGUAAACGAUGCGCACUUGGUCGAGGGAGUUGAACGCUUUCUCGGUCGUAGAAAAAUUGAUUAGUGCGCCGCCUG
rnacentral:rRNA from 1 species